AAGUUUGCGCAAUGGCAGUAUUAUAGCCAAUGAGGUUUAUCCGAGACGCAAUUAUUGCUAAUUGAAAAUUAUAUGAAAAUUUUUGCAGAAGUCUUUGAAAAUUGUAAUUUUCAGAGCUAGCAGCAGUUU
ensembl:snRNA U4 U4 spliceosomal RNA